rnacentral:rRNA from 1 species
ACACUUCGAACGCACCUUGACACAUUGAUCAUCGACACUUCGAACGCACCUUGCGGCCCCGGGUUCCUCCCGGGGCUACGCCUGUCUGAGGGUCGCUUUGCCAUCAAUCGGAAACGCCCGCGUUUCCGCGGCUGGGGCGUUCGCAGGCGACCUCGGUCGCCUUCGUGCCCCUAAGUGCAGACUUUUGGGAAGCCCGUUGGCCUUACCCCCCAACCUUCUCUCCCCCCCUUCUCUCCGGCCCUCGGGCCGAAGGGCUGGGGCGCCUCGUCGGGGCCCGCAUGCGUCGGGCGCGGCUGCCGGUGGACUACUCGUCUCCGCGCUGACCGCGACCGCCCGUGCGACGCUCUCGGCGGGGGGAGCCUGCCCCUAGCGGGCGGGUUUCGAGGGGAGGCCCUGUGGGGAUAGGGCCAUGGCCAGAGCUAGCUCUUACCCAGAGUCCUCCGUGAGCCUCCCUCGGGAGCCACGACCGGUCUCCCCUCUCCCGGGGGGAGACCUCUCCAUUCGACUACGACCUCAGAUCAGACGAGACAACCCGCUGAAUUUAAGCAUAUUACUAAGCGGAGGAAAAGAAACUAACCAGGGCCCAACAGAGCAGACUAGA